CCUACGGGAGGCAGCAGUGAGGAAUAUUGGUCAAUGGGCGUAAGCCUGAACCAGCCAAGUCGCAUGAGGGAUGAAGGUUCUAUGGAUUGUAAACCUCUUUUAUAAGGGAAUAAAGUGUGGCACGUGUCCUAUUUUGUAUGUACCUUAUGAAUAAGGAUCGGCUAACUCCGUGCCAGCAGCCGCGAUAAUACGGAGGAUCCGAGCGUUAUCCGGAUUUAUUGGGUUUAAAGGGUGCGUAGGCGGCCUUUUAAGUCAGGUGUGAAAGUCUGUGGCUCAACCAUAGAAUUGCCGUUGAAACUGGGGGGCUUGAGUAUGGUUGAGGUAGGCGGAAUGCGUGGUGUAGCGGUGAAAUGCUUAGAUAUCACGCAGAACACCGAUUGCGAAGGCAGUCGGCCAAGCCAUGACUGACGCUGAUGCACGAAAGCGUGGGGAUCAAACAGGAUUAGAUACCCUGGUAGUC
rnacentral:rRNA from 1 species